AAGAAGCCAAAUUUGGGCAAUCUACAAUAGUGAGCUGCUCAAGAGCAAUGAGAUUCAGCAGUCCAGCUGAUAAAGAAGUAAGAUUAGUACAGUUCUCAACGGAUAAGAUUUUAAGGUUGCUUAAACUGCCAACACCAGCAUCCGACAAAGAGAUAAUAUUGUGGCAUUCACUGAUCUCCAAGGACUCCAGAGAUUUAAGGUUAUGCAAUCCUUCUGGCAAAGUUGAUAGCUCCUCACACGAGCAUAUUGUUAAUGACUUGAGAGCUGUAAGCUUUUCUAGUUCUGAAGGCAGACAAUAGAGACUUCCACAUGAGCUAAUCUUCAGAGAGGCUAGAAAACUAUUGUUUUGCAGCAACUUUCCUGGUAGAACGGUCAAUCCAGGGAUAGUGUCAACCACAAGAACAGAAAGCAAGGAUAGAUUUUCCAUGGUGGUAAUCAGCAAUGGAUGACAAUCAUGCAACUCUAAAUGUUGCAAUGAUGGAAACAAUGGUGCUGUACUCAGCUUUGGGCAUUUGCUAACAAUUAGCUUUUCCAGGCACGGAAAUGCUUCUCUGCCAUCACUGUUAGACCAUUCUUUCAACUUCGGAAAGUUUCUGAGAGUUAAUUCUGUCAAAGCUGGGAACGGCCUCUGGACGUCAAUGCUAUAGAAUUCCAUGGAAAUACACUCAACAUUGUCCAUGCCUUGCAAAUAGAGUAAUUUCAGGUAAGGAAGGUGCCCAAGGGUUGGCAAGUUUUCACACCUUUUGCAGUUGAUCAACACAACCACAGCAAGAUUUGGAAGCACCCAUUGAGGAAAUGUGAUUCCUGGAUACCCUCUGAUGAAAAGCCUACCAAGAUUUGGGUGUGGUUCAAGGCAUUUCAAAAUUUCUUCCACAUCUACUGAUUGAGCAUCACCACCAUGAUUUCCAUGCCAUAAUCCCGAUGAUUGAAAAUUCCUUCCAGUACUCAUGCAACGUGAAGGUGUUGCCUUCGCUGAUUGGAUCUUCAUGCCUCCGUCAUUAUCUUCCCACCACAACCGCAACACCUGAAUGUAGUUUUUUGCUAUCAAAUUUGCAGUCUUCGCCUCUUCUGGGUCUCUGACAUUCUCCAAGCAUUUGAUGUUUAACUCACCCCGGAGGUUGAGAGAUCUAAGUUCUGU
rnacentral:misc_RNA from 1 species